UACGUAGGGUGCAAGCGUUGUCCGGAAUUAUUGGGCGUAAAGAGCUCGUAGGCGGUUUGUCGCGUCUGGUGUGAAAAUCCAGGGCUUAACCCUGGACCUGCAUCGGGUACGGGCAGACUAGAGUGCGGUAGGGGAGAUCGGAAUUCCUGGUGUAGCGGUGAAAUGCGCAGAUAUCAGGAGGAACACCGGUGGCGAAGGCGGAUCUCUGGGCCGAUACUGACGCUGAGGAGCGAAAGCGUGGGGAGCGAACAGG
rnacentral:rRNA from 1 species